CAGUCGAACGGAACUGUUUUGAAAGAUUUCUUCGGAAUGAAUUUGAUUUAGUUUAGUGGCGGGCGGGUGAGUAACGCGUGAGUAACCUGCCUUCAAGAGGGGGAUAACAUUCUGAAAAGAAUGCUAAUACCGCAUGACAUAUCGGAAUCACAUGGUUUUGAUAUCAAAGAUUUUAUCGCUUGAAGAUGGACUCGCGUCCGAUUAGUUAGUUGGUGAGGUAACGGCUCACCAAGACCGCGAUCGGUAGCCGGACUGAGAGGUUGAACGGCCACAUUGGGACUGAGACACGGCCCAGACUCCUACGGGAGGCAGCAGUGGGGGAUAUUGCGCAAUGGGGGCAACCCUGACGCAGCAACGCCGCGUGAAGGAUGAAGGUUUUCGGAUUGUAAACUUCUUUUAUUAAGGACGAAACUUGACGGUACUUAAUGAAUAAGCUCCGGCUAACUACGUGCCAGCAGCCGCGGUAAUACGUAGGGAGCAAGCGUUGUCCGGAUUUACUGGGUGUAAAGGGUGCGUAGGCGGCUUUGCAAGUCAGAUGUGAAAUCUAUGGGCUCAACCCAUAAACUGCACUUGAAACUGUAGAGCUUGAGUGAAGUAGAGGCAGGCGGAAUUCCCCGUGUAGCGGUGAAAUGCGUAGAGAUGGGGAGGAACACCAGUGGCGAAGGCGGCCUGCUGGGCUUUAACUGACGCUGAGGCACGAAAGCGUGGGUAGCAAACAGGAUUAGAUACCCUGGUAGUCCACGCUGUAAACGAUGAUUACUAGGUGUGGGGGGUCUGACCCCUUC
rnacentral:rRNA from 1 species